rnacentral:sRNA from 1 species
AACUAGCGGGACUGAGCGCUCCACAGGCGCCUUCUCUCCAGCGCCGCGUCCCGUCCCCCACGGCAUGACCGACGUCCUGCCCCAGCCCGACUGCAGCCCGGAGGCGGGGCGCGAACCCCUGGAGCUGGAGGAGUCGGGGAGCAAGCGCCCCCCCAACACUGGCGCCCGGCUCUGGGGCCGCGUGCGCAACAAGCUGCUCCGAAACAAGCUGGACCCACAAACUGUGGAGACCAAGAACUGGCACACGGACGUGAUUGAGAUGAACGGGAUCAAAGUGGAAUUUUCCAUGAAAUUCACCAGCCGAGAUAUGAGCCUGAAGAGGACGCCGUCCAAAAAGCAGACCGGCGUCUUCGGUGUGAAGAUCAGCGUCGUGACUAAGCGGGAGCGCUCCAAGGUGCCCUACAUCGUCCGGCAGUGCGUGGAGGAGGUGGAGAAGAGAGGCAUCGAGGAGGUUGGCAUCUACCGGAUCUCGGGCGUGGCCACGGACAUCCAGGCGCUCAAGGCCGUCUUCGAUGCCAGUAAGGAACUGCAGAAACUCAGAAGGGCCAAGUCGCUUGCCCAGGAUGACCCAACUUGUAGGUUUUGGUUCUGGACUUAAACUCA